rnacentral:rRNA from 1 species
UACGGGGGGAGCAAGCGUUGUUCGGAUUUACUGGGCGUAAAGGGCGGGUAGGCGGCCACCGCAAGUCGACUGUGAAAUCUCCGGGCUUAACCCGGAAAGGUCAGCCGAUACUGCGGGGCUAGAGUGCAGAAGGGGCAACUGGAAUUCUCGGUGUAGCGGUGAAAUGCGUAGAUAUCGAGAGGAACACCUGAGGUGAAGACGGGUUGCUAGGCUGACACUGACGCUGAGGCGCGAAAGCUAGGGGAGCAAACGGG